rnacentral:rRNA from 1 species
GACGAACGCUGGCGGCGUGCUUAACACAUGCAAGUCGAACGAUGAAGCCUAGCUUGCUAGGUGGAUUAGUGGCGAACGGGUGAGUAAUACGUGAGUAACCUACCUUUAACUCUGGGAUAAGCCUGGGAAACUGGGUCUAAUACCGGAUACGACCAAUCUCCGCAUGGGGUGUUGGUGGAAAGCGUUAUGUAGUGGUUAUAGAUGGGCUCACGGCCUAUCAGCUUGUUGGUGAGGUAACGGCUCACCAAGGCGACGACGGGUAGCCGGCCUGAGAGGGUGACCGGCCACACUGGGACUGAGAGACGGCCCAGACUCCUACGGGAGGCGGCAGUGGGGAAUAUUGCACAAUGGGCGCAAGCCUGAUGCAGCGACGCCGCGUGAGGGAUGACGGCCUUCGGGUUGUAAACCUCUGUUAGCAGGGAAGAAGAGAAAUUGACGGUACCUGCAGAGAAAGCGCCGGCUAACUACGUG